rnacentral:rRNA from 1 species
AACGAACGCUGGCGGCGCGCCUAAUACAUGCAAGUCGAGCGAGAAGACGUAGCAAUACGUUUGUAAAGCGGCGAACGGGUGAGGAAUACAUGGGUAACCUACCCUCGAGUGGGGAAUAACUACCCGAAAGGUUAGCUAAUACCGCGUACGCUCCUUGGACUUCGGUUCAGGGAGGAAAGCGAUACCGUGGGUAUCGCGCUCUUGGAUGGGCUCAUGUCCUAUCAGCUUGUUGGUGAGGUAACGGCUCACCAAGGCUUCGACGGGUAGCUGGUCUGAGAGGACGAUCAGCCACACUGGCACUGCGACACGGGCCAGACUCCUACGGGAGGCAGCAGUAAGGAAUAUUGCGCAAUGGGCGAAAGCCUGACGCAGCGACGCCGCGUGGGGGAUGAAGGUCUUCGGGUUGUAAACCCCUGUCGGGUGGAACGAACAAG